CGGCGAAGACCACCGCGGACCGCCAGGGGGCGUGCAGUUGCCUGAAAAACCUUGCCAAUAAUAUGGGACAGAGUUUGAAUGCCGGCAACGCAGCCUCUCUCCCUGGCAAAUGUGGCGUCAACAUCCCUUACAAGAUCAGCACCUCCACCAACUGCGCCACGUAUGUUAAACUCACCACUCACUCCAUAUGCUUUAUUUUAAUUUCCUCACACAUUUCAUUCAAAAUCUCUUAGAGAGAAAUGUUAAGACUCUUUGACACACUCUUAUGAUCGAACACACUCUUUUUUAUUU
rnacentral:lncRNA from 1 species